rnacentral:rRNA from 1 species
GAUGAACGCUAGCUACAGGCUUAACACAUGCAAGUCGAGGGGAAACGACAUCGAAAGCUUGCUUUUGAUGGGCGCCGACCGGCGCACGGGUGAGUAACGCGUAUCCAACCUGUCUAUCACUUGGGAAUAACCUUGCGAAAGUAAGACUAAUACCCAAUCACAUCCCACGAAGACAUCUGAAUGGGUCUAAGGUUUUAUCGGUGAUGGCGGGGGAUGCGUUUGAUUAGCUUGUUGUCGGGGUACCGGCCUACCAAGGCAACGAUCAGUAGGGGUUCUGAGAGUAAGGUGCCCCACAGUGGAACUGAGACACGGUCCAAACUCCUACGGGAGGCAGCAGUGAGGAAUAUUGGUCAAUGGGCGAGAGCCUGAACCAGCCAAGUAGCGUGCAGGAUGGCGGCCCUAUGGAUUGUAAACUGCUUUUAUAAGGGAAUAAAGUGGGUCUCGUGAGACUUUUUGCAUGUACCUUAUGAAUAAGGACCGGCUAAUUCCGUG